ensembl:lncRNA
UAUGUUGUGAAAGGUAAAUUUAUUCAUUUUUAUUUCUAAAAUAACCAGAAAAAAAAAUAUAUAUAUAUAUAGUGGUUUAAAAAGACACACACACACACGUGUGUGUGCAGAUACACACAAACAGUUAUACCUACAGGAAUAUUUUGCCUGUUUCACAAGGUUAAGAUCCUAAAAGCUAAAUUAUUUUACUCGAGCUCUAAAAUAGAAUAAAGUAAUAAAUAUAUUGCCUUCUGUUCCCCAUCUUAGGAAACCUACUGUGAAUAAACUGCCUCCAAAUAGAUUCAGUGUUUCUCCUGCCAGCUGGCCCUUGUGUCCCGACCCUCAACCCAACCCCUGAAACUGGACGUGACCUAUUCCCAAACACCAGGGCGCAUGCAGAGGGAGGGAUGAGGGGACAGCAGGGUCACAGCAACCUUGGGAGUAAAAGAGACCCAGCCUCCAUGGAGGCUACCGCAGGCUUUGUAGGUCCAUGCCUGAUCUUGACGAGGAGAGAGGAGCCAAGGCCUGCUGGUCACGGGCAGGUCCACAGGUCAGCAGAGCCUUGUUAUUACGCCUAGUCCUCAGAUGUCAUCCUCACUGUGCGCGUCGUGAGGUGUCACUCCCAGCAGGAGGAGGAGGACGUCCUCCAUGGAAGCACAGCAGUCACCUCUCUCCAGCCUUCCUCCCACAUGCUACUUCUCCUGGAGCUCACCUGUUCCCCAGGACCAGGCAUCGGAGGAUGGGCACCUGGGCAGAAGGGUUGGAACACCUGUUGGUAGUAAGAGCUGACAUCCGACAACUUAGCUCCAGCUAGGCCCUGCUCUGGGGCUCUCGUGGGUCCGCUCACUUAAUCCUGAAACCCCCAGGAGGUCGUGCAGCCUUCACCCUACACCUAAAAGAGGGAAAAGGCUCUGAGCCAUGGUAGGGAUCUGCGCUCCAGCCUGGCUUCUGUGCCCUCUGCUUCCCCAUGCUGCCUCUGACCCUGAACUGGUGCCCACAGCCCCCUCUCCUCUCCCCGGGCCGGAUGUGGCCUCCAGAAGAACUCUCUCUAAAUUCACAAUCCCACAGCACACCCUGUUGCUCCCCUGGGAUCGCUGCUCAGCCAUCUCACUGUCACUGUAGAGUGCACUGAUCCUGCAUCGUCUCCCGUGAAUUUCAGGUGCCAACAAGUGGAUGAAGGUGUUCCAGAGGGACAGGAGCCUUCCUGGUGUCCCUGACCACCCUAGGUGAUACAGCCUGAGUCUCACUGAAUCAUUACCUUCUUAUGGGCAGCAGUAGGCUCCCCAGGAAUGAGAACACCGCUCCAAGAUGGGAUCCUCCUAUCAACAUCUACUGAAUCUGGCGCCCCACUGUCCGUCACCCUGGGACCAUGUGGCAGGCCUAUUUGGGUCCUGUCUGAGGUCAUCAAGACAAAGGGCACCUAUAGUGAAAGCCUCCUUUCAGUGGGAGCCCAGCUCCAGUCCCCACACUGUCUCUCCUCCUGGGAAUUCAACUCCUCCCGAGACCCUGCUUUUGUCUUCUGGCAGAAGAAAUGAACACAGCCUUCUCCCCAUGGGUGACCCUGGAGCCCCUCUUCCUGAGAGACCCCUGAGCCACUCUCUCUCAACCCUGGGCUUUGUAGAUCAUCUGCUAUCCUGUCCCUGUACGCCUGAAGGGUCUCCUGCCCAGUCUUCCACGAUGCCGACUAUGGGUACAGAGCCCUCUGAUACUCUCAGGGGUGUCCAGAUGUAAAACCACCAACCCCAUUCCUGAGGAAAUUCAGUAGGAAUAGGGCCAUGGAAUCCCCUCAGUUCACCACCCACCUGGUAGUUCCGGAGCAGAAACUGACAGAGAACAGUGUGGAGAGGACUCUGCUAGGAGUGCACCCCCCUCCUCCCUCUCUCCUGAGACUCAUCCAGCCUAUUGUUCAUUAACCUCUCCAGCUUCAGGGGUAGUGUAGUCCCUGAUUUGGCUUCUACUGGUUUUUUCUAGUUUUUACCAUGGCUGACCACACACACCCAACCAGCUGGAAAGAAGGUCUCCACCAUGCACCUCUCUAGAGCAGCUGGGCCAGGUAUCCCCAGGAGGAUGGCUCAGGCCACCUGGCCGUGUGACAACCCUAAGGCAGACCUUGGUAGAAAGGCCAGCUGUGUGCUUUAAUAGGUUGUCUGAAGGAGUGGCUCACUUAGUGUCAAACCACAAAUGUCAUCGUGAUGUCCCUCCAUGGGGGAACCCUACAGGAUGGGAAACACUAAGAAGCUAUGGGAGCUGUCCUUUGUAAGUCCUACUGUAGAAACCCAGUGAGCACGCUUACUUAAGGUUACCAUGCCAGCAUUUUUCUCCUCUCGUCUCCCGAACCCCACACACACCAGUCAGUGUAAAUGACAGACCUCUCUUUUCCUCCCUCUCUCGGUCCCUCUUGCUC